GGCUCAGGAUGAACGGCUGGCGGCGUGCCUAACACAUGCAAGUCGAACGGUGGUGAUUGAUAUUUUCGGAUGGAUAUCACCAUAGGUGGCGGACGGGUGAGUAACGCGUGGAUAACCUGCCUCGUACUGGGGGAAUAGCAGCUGGAAACGGCUGGUAAUACCGCAUAAGCGCACGAUGCCGCAUGGCACUGUGUGAAAAGAUUUAUCGGUACGAGAUGGAUCCGCGUCUGAUUAGCCAGUUGGCGGGGUAACGGCCCACCAAGCGACGAUCAGUAGCCGGCCUGAGAGGGUGAACGGCCACAUUGGGACUGAGACACGGCCCAGACUCCUACGGGAGGCAGCAGUGGGGAAUAUUGCACAAUGGGCGAAAGCCUGAUGCAGCGAACCGCCGCGUGAGUGAAGAAGUAUUUCGGUAUGUAAAGCUCUAUCAGCAGGGAAGAAAGGCCCGAAAGGGAGAUGACGGUACCUGACUAAGAAGCCCCGGCUAACUACGUGCCAGCCGCCGC
rnacentral:rRNA from 1 species